GACGAACGCUGGCGGCGUGCUUAACACAUGCAAGUCGAACGGAAAGGCCCUGCUUUUGUGGGGUGCUCGAGUGGCGAACGGGUGAGUAACACGUGAGUAACCUGCCCUUGACUUUGGGAUAACUUCAGGAAACUGGGGCUAAUACCGGAUAGGAGCUCCUGCUGCAUGGUGGGGGUUGGAAAGUUUCGGCGGUUGGGGAUGGACUCGCGGCUUAUCAGCUUGUUGGUGGGGUAGUGGCUUACCAAGGCUUUGACGGGUAGCCGGCCUGAGAGGGUGACCGGCCACAUUGGGACUGAGAUACGGCCCAGACUCGUACGGGGGGCAGCAGGGGGGAAUAUUGCACAAUGGGCGGAAGCCUGAGGCAGCAACGCCGCGUGCGGGAUGACGGCCUUCGGGUUGUAAACCGCUUUCGCCUGUGACGAAGCGUGAGUGACGGUAAUGGGUAAAGAAGCACCGGCUAACUACGUG
rnacentral:rRNA from 1 species